GUUCGUGCCGUGGAGUUUUUGUUUGUGCCGUGGAGUUUUUGUUCGUGCCGUGGAGUUUUUGUUCGUGCCGUGGAGUUUUUGUUCGUGCCGUGGAGUUUUUGUUCGUGCCGUGGCACCUGUGGGCCACCGUAAUUUCCGAACGCAAUACAAAAGUAUACAAAAUUUGCGAACUUUGCAAGGCUAUAUGUUCCGCAUUUUACAACAUUUCGCA